GGAAAAUCCAGAGCUCAAGCCUGUAAGAAGAGAUCCACAGUGUCUUUCCCUUUUGGCAGGAAUACACCAUGAUCCAGCUGCAGACAAAUGCUACAAUCUGGAAGGAAAACUCUUCAGAGUAGAUCAGGAAAAAGCAGCAGUUGUGCCCCUAUAGCCAAGCUGCAACUUUUAGUCUAAGUCACAAAGGAGGAAAAUCCUGCCUCAUAUAACCAGCCCACAAGUUAUUGAACUGAAGUUAUCAUAGAUUAUAUAAUGGUGUAUGGAAAAUGAAGAUCAGCAUAAUACCAUCCAUAUAACUGGCAAUUAAUCAUGUCUUGUAAAGUGCUCCCUGUCUUUCAUCUUGUGUAGAAGAAAACAAAAAUGUACCGCCAGGGAACAUCUGAAACAUGCA